UACAGAGGUCCCGAGCGUUGUUCGGAUUCACUGGGCGUAAAGGGUGCGUAGGUGGUGGGGUAAGUCUCGUGUGAAAGCUCGCAGCUUAACUGCGAAAAGUCACGGGAUACUAUCCGGCUAGAGGCUUGGAGGGGGGACUGGAAUACUUGGUGUAGCAGUGAAAUGCGUAGAUAUCAAGUGGAACACCAGUGGCGAAGGCGAGUCCCUGGACAAGAACUGACGCUGAGGCACGAAAGCCAGGGGAGCAAACAGG
rnacentral:rRNA from 1 species